GAUGAACGCUGGCGGCGUGCCUAACACAUGCAAGUCGAACGUUAGCCCAAUCUUCGGAAAGGGUGAAAGUGGCGAACGGGUGAGUAACACGUUGGUGACCUGCCCUGAAGCGGGGGACGAACUCCUCGAAGAGGAGCUAAUACCCACGAUGUCUAGUCUGUUAGAGGGGCGUAGACUAAAGACUUAGGCGCUUUGGGUAGGGGGCCGUGCGGGCGUAUCAGCUUGUUGGUGGGGUGAUGGCCUACCAAGGCGACGACGGGUAGGCCGGCCUGAGAGGGCGACCGGCCACACUGGGACUGAGACACGGCCCAGACUCCUACGGGAGGCAGCAGUGGGGAAUCUUGCGCAAUGGGCGAAAGCCUGACGCAGCGACGCCGCGUGAGGGAUGACG
rnacentral:rRNA from 1 species